GCCUGCUAAAAAUGGACUGUGUCCAAUGACAAACAGAAGAGAAUACUUUGCACUGCUUUAAUAGAGACUGUAAUAUUGUUAUUUUAUAGAGUUUUAAACAAAACAAAUUUUUGUUUUCUAAUACUCACAGUACUGACUCGGGAUGAGAGAAGGAAAGCGCUGGGUAGAGAAGGGCAGGUCCCUGGCUAGGGCUUCACCUCAGGUCCUGUGCACACGCAUAUAGGGGAGGACAAGCGCUCCUGUUUUCAUGCCCAAGUUUGCAUUUUCCAAGACCACCUGGCCUGCCACGUCCCCUAUCCUGUGCCUGUAAAAACCCCAAGACAGGCAGGCAGGCACAGAAGUGGCUGGACGUCGAGAGGAACACAUUGGCGGAAGAACACACAAGCAGUUGCACACAUUGGCGGAAGAACACACAAGCAGCUGUGCCACACAAGCAGCUGUGCAGACGCACGUUAAGAGGAGCGCACGUUGAGAGGAGCGCACGUACGUUGAGAGGAGCGCACGUACGUUGAGAGGAGCGCACGUACGUUGAGAGGAGCGCACGUACGUUGAGAGGAGCGCACGUACGUUGAGAGGAGCGCACGUACGUUGAGAGGAGCGCACGUACGUUGAGAGGAGCGCACGUACGUUGAGAGGAGCGCACGUACGUUGAGAGGAGCGCACGUACGUUGAGAGGAGCGCACGUACGUUGAGAGGAGCGCACGUACGUUGAGAGGAGCGCACCGGAGAAAGAACACACGAGCUGCGGGACAGUGAGAGGAACACACUGGUAGAAGAGCACACAGGCAGCUGGAUGUCGAGAGGAGCGGAAGAGCACAGCGACAGGCACUGGUGUCGACCAGCGGAACGACGUGGAGUUUGGCCUGGGAGGUCAGAGAAGAAUUUGGCUGCUGGGCAGCCCCACUAUAGGGGAAAACCACCUUCCCACUCCAUUCCCCUUCUGAUCUCCCCAUCCACCUCGCUGAGAGCUACCACAACUCAAUAAAAAACCUAGCACUCGAUCUCCAAGCCCACAUGUGAUCCAAUUUUUCCCGUGCACUAAAGCAAGAACCUGGGAUACAGAAAGCCGUCUGUCCUUGUGAUAAGGCAGAGGGUCUAAUUGAGCUGAUUAACACAAGCCACCUGCGGACAGCUAAGCUGAAAAAGCAUCCUGUAACACACGCCCACUGGGGCCUCAGGAGGUGUAAACAUUCACCCCGAGAGGCUGCAUGGGUCCGCGCCCAUGGUCCCCAUGACUUGCCUGUUUGCCUGCUCUGGCUAAGGGUCUUGACCAGUGGGGCACUGAAGAAGCGAGCCACACCUCCAUCGUACGCCCUGCGAGGAGGGGUCUCACUCAGUGACCCAGGCUGAAUGCAGUGGAACAAUCAUGGCUUACUGUAGCCUUGACCUUGAGGGCUUAAGCAAUCCUGCCACCUCAGCCUGCCUAGUACUGGGACUACAGAAAUUGCCACAGUCACCUCAACCUUCAGCAACCACCAACUUGAUCAAUCAGCAGCCAAUAACGUGAAGUCAUGACCAUUCACCAGCAAAAAGUUUAUGAUUCACCAAAAUAUUAGAUGAUCAUUAACAUUUUUAGCAAUAAUGUAUUUGUCAUUAAGGUGUUAGUGCAUUGGAAAAUCAUUUAAAGAAUGUAUCAGCUAAUUGAAGGCUUAUGUGCCACACUGAUACUAAGAAGAUGAUGAGUGUUCUCAGGGCAGAACGAUUCAGAAUCAAGAUCAGAGAACUUGGUGAAAUUUAGAUUAGACUUGAAAUGAGGACAAUGAGAGAAAUAAAAAGGCUUCGUAAACUAGAAAAGUUUGGUGAGGAGCGACUACAGUUCUCAAAAUGCAAGAUGAAAGAAGCUCCUAUCAAGAGAACCAGGGAACAGAGAUGAGAUUCUCCAUUUAACAUUUUCUAUUUUGAUUCUUAGAUAUGAACAAUUUACAUUUGACAAGUCUGGUUGUCAAGCCUUGUCAAUUUUCAAGCUUGACUUAAGGCUCCUAAAAAUGUGUGUGUGUGUGUGUGUGUGUGUGUGUGUGUGAGUGUGUGUGUGUGUGUGUGUUAAAGGCAGGACAACUUUCAUCUCAAUAAAUGCAUAAAAGGAAAGACUGGUGACACGAAGUGGAGAUGAGUAUAACCAGUUGAAAAAUUACCCAUGAGUCAGGGCAGCAGUGGACACAUCCUACUUUUACUCUGUGAUUCACUAGAAACCCCCUGAGGUUUUGGAAUGGGGAGUAAUGACAAUCACCCUGUUGAGAUGGCACUGCUUACUCUGUCCUGCAGAAGUCCUGAAUCUCUUCUUCCCUGCUUGGAGAGAAAAUCUUACACAAAACACACUCAAGCUACUUUUGUCCUGUGGACUUGUUUUUUGCAGCUUCUCUGCAUAAGAAUUCAUGCAGAACUACUCACGAGUCUAACUGAAAAAUAAUUGUAGCAUACUACCAAACUCCCAUAUUUUUAUAACCUGGGAAACUGUUCACAGGAAAAUGAAUUAAAUUCUGAAUCAAUGGCCUUCAUAUGGCACACUCUUAGAGUAGAAUAACAGUAUCUGUAUUUCUUGGUUACAAGUGAUGUUGGUGGCAGCCCAUCUGGAGUAGCUGUUGCAGGGACACCAGCUGCAGUGAUGGAUGCAUGGCUGGACCUGUGUGCUCUGUGGAGCCCAUGGGGGCUGGGGACAGGUGAGAGCCCUGCCACCUACUGAGUUGGCUGAGGGGGAGCCCUGAGCUCCUCGGCACAGCUGCAGUUGCCCAGCUGGGAUCCAGACCUGAGCAUCCCUUCACUGUCAGGGGCCCAGGAAGCUCCUAACCCCUGCAUACGUGAAAGUGCCUGCUCCCCCUUCCUGGCCUCUACCCUCUCCCAGCACCCGCUGUGGGUCAGAACAAAGUUAUGGCUGAGCCUGGAUGCUGCUGGAACCCAGCUGGGUGUGCAUGCUCAGGGUGGUUCUGAUACACCCACCGGCUGCUGCCUCAGACCCCUCUGGACUUUAGGAGCACAUGAGCAUGGGAGGGGAGCUGGGAGUGGUGAGUGUGGCUCAGCAGGGAACUGCAAGCGCCUCUUGGCAUGGACAGCCUGGGUGCCAUGUAAGCAUGUUAAAGGUAGACAAGUUCCUAGGCAGGAAUGAGAAGGUCUCCCCAGUGAAACCCCAGCUUCAGGCCAGAGACAGCCUGAAGCCUGGAGGCUGGGAUGCUAGUUCUGGGCCAAGUCUGUAGCUCAGAGUCAGGACUUCAUUGAUGACCAUUUGGCCAAUCAGAUGGUGCUUUCUUCAGGCCCUCCCAUGGCUGCCCAUGGACCAAUCAGUACACACAAUCUUCAUUCUGAGCACAUAAAAACCCCAGACUCAGCCAGACUAACACACAAAUUGGGAAAGGAGCUACUUACUCCUCUGAAUAAGUUUCCUCUGAGCUGAGAGGUGGACAGUCUUUUGGGAUGACCAUCCUGUGGAAAGUAGCCACCCACUUCAGGUCUCCUGAGAGCUAUUCUGCUGCUCAAUGCAGCUCCUCUCUGCCUUGCACAUCUUCCAGUUGUCUGCAUACCUUAUUCUUCCUGGAUAUGAGGCAAGAACUUGGGACCCUCCAAAUGGCAGAAAUGAAAGAGCUGUAACACAAACAGGACUAAAACUUGUCCCCUGCUUGCCACCUUGUGGACUACAAGGAGAGAAGAGCUGCUACCCUCUGGGAGCCCAAACCUCAGGAUGCCCUGACCCAGGACUGUGACACAUUGUAACACCCUCUGGGGCUCUGCUUUUCCUAGUGUCUCUGAACUUUUGGGUUCCAUCAUGUUCCCCUUGUCCGGACAUUGCUGCCCACAGUGGAAGCUGCUUGUGUUACAUCUGGUCCAGCCACAGCCUCACACAGAGCCAGCACCUGCGCCAGUGCCUGGAGCUGCCCAUGCCACCACAGCUGGCCUACAAGGGUGUGCACAGUGGCUGGAUCCCACAUUCACUCACUCACACACCCCUUGGCACUCUGUGCCUGGCUCACCCUUUGCAGACAUGGGAUCCAAGCAGUUAGCACAAGCUGAGCGCAGCCUGCCCAACCAAGUGGACAGAACAAGCUUAGCACAUGCAAGUGAAACACAAGCAUAGGUGCCACCAGCCACAGAGGUUUCUGCCUGGUGAAGCAACACCCUAAGGAUCCUGUGACAAAAGGGCAACUUGUGAAGGUGGAAGUGAUCUAUUUCCCUGUAACAUAUUUCAUCUCUAAACAUGUUAUUAAUG
rnacentral:lncRNA from 10 species